GACGGAGGGGGCUAGCGUUGUUCGGAAUUACUGGGCGUAAAGAGUGCGUAGGCGGUUUAGUAAGUUGGAAGUGAAAGCCCGAGGCUUAACCUCGGAAUUGCUUUCAAAACUACUAAUCUAGAGUGUAGUAGGGGAUGAUGGAAUUCCUAGUGUAGAGGUGAAAUUCUUAGAUAUUAGGAGGAACACCGGUGGCGAAGGCGGUCAUCUGGGCUACAACUGACGCUGAUGCACGAAAGCGUGGGGAGCACACAGG
rnacentral:rRNA from 1 species